rnacentral:rRNA from 1 species
GGAAAUGCUGAGCGGCGGACGGGUGAGUAACGCGUGGGUACCUGCCUCAUACAGGGGGAUAACAGUUAGAAAUGACUGCUAAUACCGCAUAAGACCGCAUGGUAAAAACUCCGGUGGUAUGAGAUGGACCCGCGUCUGAUUAGCUAGUUGGUAAGGUAACGGCUUACCAAGGCGACGAUCAGUAGCCGACCUGAGAGGGUGACCGGCCACAUUGGGACUGAGACACGGCCCAAACUCCUACGGGAGGCAGCAGUGGGGAAUAUUGCACAAUGGGGGAAACCCUGAUGCAGCGACGCCGCGUGAGGAAGAAGUAUUUCGGUAUGUAAAGCUCUAUCAGCAGGGAAGAAAAUGACGGUACCUGACUAAGAAGCACCGGCUAAAUACGUGCCAGCAGCCGCGGUAAUACGUAUGGUGCAAGCGUUAUCCGGAUUUACUGGGUGUAAAGGGAGCGUAGACGGAUGGGCAAGUCUGAUGUGAAAACCCGGGGCUCAACCCCGGGACUGCAUUGGAAACUGUUCAUCUAGAGUGCUGGAGAGGUAAGUGGAAUUCCUAGUGUAGCGGUGAAAUGCGUAGAUAUUAGGAGGAACACCAGUGGCGAAGGCGGCUUACUGGACAGUAACUGACGUUGAGGCU